UUGAUCCUGGCUCAGAACGAACGUUGGCGGCGUGGUUGAGGCAUGCAAGUCGAGCGAGAAAGCCCGCUUCGGUGGGUGAGUAAAGCGGCGGAAGGGUGAGUAAUGCGUAGACAACCUGCCCUGGAGUAGGGGAUAACCUUCCUAACGGAGGGCUAAUACCGCAUAAGACCACGCGAUCUUCGGAUCAUGGGGUAAAAGAUAGGGAUCCUUCGGGACCUUUCGCUUCAGGAGGGGUCUACGUCGCAUCAGGUAGUUGGUGAGGUAACGGCUCACCAAGCCAGCGACGCGUAGCCGGCCUGAGAGGGUGACCGGCCACAUCGGGACUGAGACACUGCCCGGACUCCUACGGGAGGCUGCAGUUCGGAAUAUUCCGCAAUGGACGAAAGUCUGACGGAGCGACGCCGCGUGCGGGAUGAAGGCCUUCGGGUUGUAAACCGCUGUCACUUGUUAGGAAAUCCAUCGGGGUUAAUAGCUCCGGUGGUUGACAAAGGCGAGAGAGGAAGCACCGGCUAAUUCCGUGCCAGCAGCCGCGGUAAUACGGAAGGUGCAAACGUUGUUCGGUGUCACUGGGCAUAAAGGGCGCGUAGGUGGCUGAGCAUGUCGGGGGUGAAAGCCCCUCGCUUACCGAGGGAAUUGCCUCCGAAACUGCUUAGCUUGAGAGCCGGAGGGGUGGCCGGAACGUUGCAUGUAACGGUGAAAUGUGUAGAUAUGCAACGGAACGCCGGAGGUGAAGACGGGCCACUGGACGGUUUCUGACACUGAGGCGCGAAAGCGUGGGGAGCGAACAGGAUUAGAUACCCUGGUAGUCCACGCCGCAAACGAUGGGCACUACGUAGGGGGGGUUCUACAGCCUUCCCUGCCGCAGCAAAUGCGUUAAGUGCCCCGCCUGGGGAGUAUGGUCGCAAGGCUGAAACUCAAAGGAAUUGACGGGGGCCCGCACAAGCGGUGGAGCAUGUGGUUCAAUUCGAAGCAACGCGAAGAACCUUACCUGGGCUUGACAUGGAGAGGACCAUCCUCAGAGAUGAGGACUUCUGUAGCAAUACAGACCUCUCACACAGGUGCUGCAUGGCUGUCGUCAGCUCGUGUCGUGAGAUAUUGGGUUAAGUCCCGCAACGAGCGCAACCCUUGUCCUUAGUUGCCAUCAGGUUAAGCUGGGCACUCUAGGGAGACUGCCAGUAAUAAACUGGAGGAAGGUGGGGAUGACGUCAAGUCCUCAUGGCCCUUACGUCCAGGGCUACACACGUGCUACAAUGAUCUGUACAACGGGUUGCGAUCCCGCAAGGAGGAGCUAAUCCCUUAAAACAGGUCUCAGUCCGGAUUGGAGUCUGCAACUCGACUCCAUGAAGUUGGAAUCGCUAGUAAUCGCGGAUCAGCAUGCCGCGGUGAUCCGUUCCCGGGCAUUGUACACACCGCCCGUCAAGCCAUGGAAGCCGGAUGUACCC
rnacentral:rRNA from 1 species